CGAGCGCAACCCUCACUGUGUGGUUAUAUGUGUCACACGGGACUGCCGGUUUUAAGCCGGAGGAAGGUGGGGAUGACGUCAAGUCAGCAUGGCCUUUAUAUCCUGGGCUACACACACGCUACAAUGGUCGGUACAAUAGGUUGCCAAGCCGCGAGGCGGAGCCAAUCCAAAAAAGCCGGCCUCAGUUCAGAUUGUAGGCUGCAACUCGCCUGCAUGAAGAUGGAGUUGCUAGUAACCGCAGGUCAGCAAUACUGCGGUGAAUACGUUCCCGGGUCUU
rnacentral:rRNA from 1 species